GAUGAACGCUGGCGGCGUGCCUAAUACAUGCAAGUCGAGCGAACAGACGAGGAGCUUGCUCCUCUGACGUUAGCGGCGGACGGGUGAGUAACACGUGGAUAACCUACCUAUAAGACUGGGAUAACUUCGGGAAACCGGAGCUAAUACCGGAUAAUAUAUUGAACCGCAUGGUUCAAUAGUGAAAGACGGUUUUGCUGUCACUUAUAGAUGGAUCCGCGCCGCAUUAGCUAGUUGGUAAGGUAACGGCUUACCAAGGCAACGAUGCGUAGCCGACCUGAGAGGAGGAUAGGCCACACUGGAAAGGAGACACGGACGAGACAACUACGGGAGGCACAAGUAGGGAAUGGUCGGCAAUGGGUGAAAGCCUGACGGAGCAAUGCCGCGGGAGUGACGAAGGUCUUCGGAUCGUAAAACUCUGUGAGGAGGGAAGAACAAAAGUGGAAGGAAAUAUGCACGUCGUGACGGUACCUAAUCAGAAAGCCACGGCUAACUACGUG
rnacentral:rRNA from 1 species